GGAAUAAGCCUCGGCUAACUACGUGCCAGCAGCCGCGGUAAUACGUAGGAGGCGAGCGUUAUCCGGAUUUACUGGGCGUAAAGGGCGUGUAGGCGGCUUUUUAAGUUGGGUGUGAAAUCUUCCGGCUCAACUGGGAUUCGCCUGUCAAUACUGGAGAGCUUGAGGGCACCAGAGGAAAGUGGAACUCCCGGUGUAGCGGUGAAAUGUGUAAAUAUCGCGAGGAACACCAGUGGCGAAGGCGGCUUUCUGGGGUGUUCCUGACGCUGAGGCGCGAAAGCGUGGGGAGCGAACCGGAUUAAAUACCCGGGUAGUCCACGCCCUAAACGGUG
rnacentral:rRNA from 1 species